rnacentral:rRNA from 1 species
AGUCGCCGCGGUAAUACAGAGGGUGCGAGCGUUAAUCGGAUUUACUGGGCGUAAAGCGUGCGUAGGCGGCUUUUUAAGUCGGAUGUGAAAUCCCUGAGCUUAACUUAGGAAUUGCAUUCGAUACUGGGAAGCUAGAGUAUGGGAGAGGAUGGUAGAAUUCCAGGUGUAGCGGUGAAAUGCGUAGAGAUCUGGAGGAAUACCGAUGGCGAAGGCAGCCAUCUGGCCUAAUACUGACGCUGAGGUACGAAAGCAUGGGGAGCAAACAGGAUUAGAUACCCCAGUAGUCCCUGUCUCUUAUACA